CUCUACACCUGUGCUGAUCACUGGAUUAAGUACUUCUUCAAUGCUUUGGGGUUGGGGUUGGGGGUGUAUCGAGCGUUGGGGGGGUGUAUCGAGGGUUGGGGGGGUGUAUCGAGGGUUGAGAAGGUGUAUCGAGGGUUGGGGGGGUGUAUCGAGGGUUGGGGGGGUGUAUCGAGGGUUGAGAAGGUGUAUCGAGGGUUGGGGGGGUGUAUCGAGGGUUGAGAAGGUGUAUCGAGGGUUGGGGGGGUGUAUCAAGGUUUGGGGGGAACAAAGCCAUCCUAAAUAUCUUAGAACAUCUUUCUUCUAUUUUCACACAUCAUCAUGACGAAGGAUACGCUUUACUAUGAAGCCUAGAGAGAUGCUUUGUAUGCAGUUACAAAUAAAUGUAUAGCGAUAACGGUUACUCAGAGUAAUGAUCUUUUUUCUUUUUUUUUCCUUUUUAAACAUUUUCUUACUUUUUUUACUCAAUUUUUUUUUGUU